UCGCUGAACAGAUCGCGGACCCCUCCCCUCAGCGCGGCGCCCGCGCCCCUUCGCCGGGCCCACUUGCUCUCCGGCCCGGGUUCCGCCCUACCCGAAUGGGCUCUACCGAGCCCGGCCCGGCGCCGAGCCCCGGGUCUCCACUACGCGCGGGGGACGCCUGGGGAGGGGAGGCCGCGGUCGAGUAGGAAGGGGGGAGGCGGAGGAACAGCAAUCUCCGAGCGGUUGUCCCUCCCCGCCGAGCUGGCCCGAAGCCGCCGGUCCUGGCAGUCCCGGUGCUCGGGUGGCCGCGAGGUUCCAGCAGCCGCCUGCCUCGCAGCGCCCAGCUCCGAAGCGGCCCGCACCGCGCCAAGCAGGCCCGGCAGGUCCCUCCGCCGCAGCCUGCCCACGGCGCAGCAGGGCCUGCGCGCAGAUGAGGCGGGAGCCGGGCCAGGAGAAAGUGAAUAAGGAGGUCAACAGGUCCAUCGAUUAGUAAGGGAAGAAGAGAAGGAAGAUGAAAGGUUAGAAGAAGCAGCUGGUCCUUCAGUAACGAAGUCGGAAGAAGGAAUGAGAGAAAUUGAAAAGUAAAUGGAAACUACUAGGUUGCUGACCUCAUCAGAACUUCGAGAUAUGCAGAUAGAUUACAGCCACCAGAUGUUCGCUGGAGCAGGACAUAACUUAUGCCUCAUCCAUCAAGAUGGAUAUCCAGGCCAGGGGAAACAGUGUGUUCAGUGUUGGACACCAGCACCGACUUGGUUUGUCCACUUGUCCGGUUUCUUGCGAAGUUCAUACCUCAUCGCCUACAACAGGCAACUCACAUAACAGGUUAUUUUCCCCCCAAAGUUAAGUCUCCUGGAGGUACACAUCGAGUUUCCCCAUCCUUUCUCAUCACCCACCAAGUAUAUCCAGGCCCUUGAGCAAAGACAAUCCCACAAAUGAGUUUGCCCUUUCCCAUGGGAGGUGCAACCCAUACUGCCUUCCCCAGCCAUUUCCCUGGAUGCACUACAGGGACCUUAUCUCGUCCCACAGUAUGUAGGGGUUUUGUUUGGGCAGGACCAGGAUGGUUAGUUGAACCUCUGCUGUUAACCAGCCAAGUGGCUUCUGCUAAAUUUUUAUCCCACUGCUUCCGUGCCCCAUUGCUCUCAACAUGGUCUUUAGUAAUCCGUUAUAUCUUUCAAUCUUUCCAGAGGCUUGUGGGUGAUAGGUGAUGUGGUAUAUCCACUCAAUGCCAUGUUUCUUUGCCCAGGAGUUUAUGAGAUUAUUUUGAAAAUUAGUUCCAUUAUCUGAUUCAAUUCUUUCUGGACUACCGUUUUGCCAUAAAACUUGCCUUUCAAAGCCCAAGACAGAAUUUCGAGCAGUGGCAUGGUUUACAGGGUAUGUUUC